UGGGGAAUUUUGGACAAUGGGGGAAACCCUGAUCCAGCCAUCCCGCGUGUGCGAUGAAGGCCUUCGGGUUGUAAAGCACUUUUGGCAGGGAAAGAAACGUCGCGGGUUAAUACCCCGCGAAACUGACGGUACCUGCAGAAUAAGCACCGGCUAACUACGUGCCAGCAGCCGCGGUAAUACGUAGGGUGCAAGCGUUAAUCGGAAUUACUGGGCGUAAAGCGUGCGCAGGCGGUUCGGAAAGAAAGAUGUGAAAUCCCAGAGCUUAACUUUGGAACUGCAUUUUUAACUACCGGGCUAGAGUGUGUCAGAGGGAGGUGGAAUUCCGCGUGUAGCAGUGAAAUGCGUAGAUAUGCGGAGGAACACCGAUGGCGAAGGCAGCCUCCUGGGAUAACACUGACGCUCAUGCACGAAAAGCGUGGGGAGCAAAACAGGAUUAGAUACCCUGGUAGUCCACGCCCUAAACGAUGUCAACUAGCUGUUGGGGGCCUUUCGGGCCUUGGUAGCGCAGCUAACGCGUGAAGUUGACCGCCUGGGGAGUACGGUCGCAAGAUUAAAACUA
rnacentral:rRNA from 1 species